rnacentral:tRNA from 1 species
UUGGUGUUGGGCGACGGCCUGCCCGACAGCUUCGACCUGCUGGGGCCGCUGGGCAUCGGCGGGCUGUUCGAGGCGCUGCUGCACCAGG